rnacentral:rRNA from 1 species
GACGAACGCUGGCGGCGUGCUUAACACAUGCAAGUCGAACGGAAAGGCCCUGCUUUUGUGGGGUGCUCGAGUGGCGAACGGGUGAGUAACACGUGAGUAACCUGCCCUUGACUUUGGGAUAACUUCAGGAAACUGGGGCUAAUACCGGAUAGGAGCUCCUGCUGCAUGGUGGGGGUUGGAAAGUUUCGGCGGUUGGGGAUGGACUCGCGGCUUAUCAGCUUGUGGGUGGGGGAGUGGCUUACCAAGGCUUUGACGGGUAGCCGGCCUGAGAGGGUGACCGGCCACAUUGGGACUGAGAUACGGCCCAGACUCCUACGGGAGGCAGCAGUGGGGAAUAUUGCACAAUGGGCGGAAGCCUGAUGCAGCAACGCCGCGUGCGGGAUGACGGCCUUCGGGUUGUAAACCGCUUUCGCCUGUGACGAAGCGUGAGUGACGGUAAUGGGUAAAGAAGCACCGGCUAACUACGUG